GAUACAUUCACCCCAAAUUGAGAAACUAUCAUCUCUGCCAGAGAAGAGAGAUGCACAAAAUUGAUUAGACCCCUCAUGUAUAUCUCUCUCUAUCGUCGGCACCCAAAUCAUCUCGCACUAUUGUCGGCCACCAUCACCAGAUUCUAUUAUUUCAUGAAGAAACCACUCUGUUGGGAUCUCUUUGUGGCAAUAGAAAUGGGCUGCACCAGCAUCAGCGUUAAAUAUCUUGCAGUCUUGAUGCUUAUCAUUCGACAAGCCAGAUAGAAUGCAGGACAAUUAAGCAAGUGAUGGAAUAAAUCAUGUGAAGGGUGCAAUUGUGUUUCUAAUAGUGUUACCACGAUUUCACCAAUUUAUGCUCAAGAUGUCCGAACUGCUCAGUUUACUUUGAAGCUAUAAUCCACAAAUAACGUGGCUUCAAAGUCACUGUCUAAUGGAUGCAAUUUGCUGGAGUCAUCAAGAAUCGACCGUGUUUGUUUAGCCUUGUCAAGACACAAUGAAUGACGACCCGGUAUCAUCUGAUUCAUGUGGGGCAGAAAUGUCGAUUUAGAGAAUAAAUGCUUUGUUCCAAAUCUAAAUAUGAUGAUGCCCUUGGAGGCUAAAACUGACACCGUAUGGAACUAGGCUUGUAGAAGGAGAAACAACUAUUAUUGGAUUCCAAUGACGUAUUUUUCUUAUAUG